AUUUUCUCUACAAACAGUAACUUAUAAUAAUUUCUCCUUGUACUGUAGCUAAGUAAAAAGAACCCCUUGCUACCUUAGAAAUCAACUUGCCCAGGAUGACUGUACAAAAGAGACCAUGGGACAGCAAGGAGGAGAGAUAUUCCGUCAAGAGGAAAAGAAAAGCAAUAAAAGUAGGGGGAAACAUGACCAGCAAAAAAGAAACAAAAUUCAUCUCCCUCAUCUAAACUCAAGAGGGCCGAUUCUUCUUGGUAAAAUUUUAAGAGCACUCAAGAGUUAACAUUAUUAAAUUCAAAGGAAGCAGUACUAUACUUGCAAGCUAUAAAUGAUUGAGACAGCUAGAAUUUGACUCUAGCACAAACAGAGAAACAAACAGACCACAUCAAACCAUAUCCAGAUCAAGAUCCUCU
rnacentral:lncRNA from 1 species